GACGAACGCUGGCGGCGUGCUUAACACAUGCAAGUCGUACGGAAAGGCCCUGCUUUUGUGGGGUGCUCGAGUGGCGAACGGGUGAGUAACACGUGAGUAACCUGCCCUUGACUUUGGGAUAACUUCAGGAAACUGGGGCUAAUACCGGAUAGGAGCUCCUGCUGCAUGGUGGGGGUUGGAAAGUUUCGGCGGUUGGGGAUGGACUCGCGGCUUAUCAGCUUGUUGGUGGGGUAGUGGCUUACCAAGGCUUUGACGGGUAGCCGGCCUGAGAGGGUGACCGGCCACAUUGGGACUGAGAUACGGCCCAGACUCCUACGGGAGGCAGCAGUGGGGAAUAUUGCACAAUGGGCGGAAGCCUGAUGCAGCAACGCCGCGUGCGGGAUGACGGCCUUCGGGUUGUAAACCGCUUUCGCCUGUGACGAAGCGUGAGUGACGGUAAUGGGUAAAGAAGCACCGGCUAACUACGUG
rnacentral:rRNA from 1 species